GCUGGAUGUGGUGCUGCACACCUGUAAUCCCAGCUACUUGGGAGGCUGAGGCAGGAGGAUCGCUUAAACCCAGGAGUUCAAGGCUUCAGUGAGCUAUGAUGGCACCACUGUACUCUAGCCUGGGAAACAAAGUGAGACCUUGUCUCUA
ensembl:misc_RNA Metazoa_SRP Metazoan signal recognition particle RNA